rnacentral:lncRNA from 1 species
UGGGUUGAAAUCUGAUCUCAUUAAAGAAACCCAGAAAAAAUAGAUUACAAAGCAAGUCACAAAAACCAGGUAGAGGCACUUAGACCUCAAAACCAAGGCUAGAACCAAGCUUCUCACCCAGACCAGUUCAAAACUAAACAAAAACAAAAUGCAUAAGAUAACAUAAAACAAGGAAUUCGGACAGCACCACCCAUAACCAAUCAACAAUGUCCUAAACACAAGACCAAACCCACUAUAGAAGAAAUCGUAACCAAAGGUACCAAAGGAAAAUGGUGAUGACUCAAUUGAUGUUGCUGCUACUGUUGUGAAGUUUGUGUAUUCAUUUAAA